rnacentral:pre_miRNA from 1 species
UAUAUACUCCCUCCGUCCAAAAAUUCUUGUCUUAGAUUUGUCUAAAUACGGAUGUAUCAAGUCACGUUCUAGUAUUAGAUACAUCCGUAUCUAGACAAAUCUAAGACAAGAAUUUUGGGACGGAGGGAGUAUAAU